rnacentral:rRNA from 1 species
CUACGAUCUAUAGCCGAGCUGAGAGGCUGACCGGCCACAUUGGAACUGAGACACGGUCCAGACUCCUACGGGAGGCAGCAGCUAAGAAUCUUCCGCAAUGGUCGAUAGACUGACGGAGCGACGCCGCGUGGAUGAUGAAGGCCUUACAGGUUGUAAAAUCCUUUUAGAUUGGACGAAUGUAUAAUGCAGGUUAUGCUGACGGUACUUUCUGAAUAAGGUCCGGCUAACUACGUGCCAGCAGCCGCGGUAAUACGUAGGGACCUAGCGUUGUUCGGAAUUAUUGGGCGUAAAGGGUACGUAGGCGGUCAAGUAAGUCAGCUGUGAAAACCUCGGGCUCAACCUGGGGCUUGCGGUUGAUACUGCUUGGCUAGAGUCACGGAGAGGAAAGCGGAAUACCUGGUGUAGGAGUGAAAUCUAUAGAUAUCAGGAAGAACACCUGUAGCGAAGGCUGUUUUCUGGACGUGCACUGACGCUGAGGUACGAAAGUUAGGGUAGCAAACAGGAUUAGAGACCCUGGUAGUCCUAACUGUAAACGUUGUAUACUAGGUGGUGGGAGUAUUGAUCCUUUCACUGCCGCAGCUAAUGCAUUAAGUAUACCGCCUGGGGAGUAUGCCGGCAACGGUGAAACUCAAAGGAAUUGACGGGGGCCCGCACAAGCAGUGGAGCAUGUUGUUCAAUUCGAUGAUACGCGAGGAACCUUACCAGGUCUUGACAUAUACCUGACGCACAUAGAAAUAUGUGGUUCCUUCGGGACAGGUAUACAGGUGCUGCAUGGUUGUCGUCAGCUCGUGCCGUGAGGUGUUGGGUUAAGUCCCGUAACGAGCGCAACCCCUAUUCUUUGUUGCUAACAGUUUAAGCUGAGCACUCGGAGGAAACUGCCGGUGACAAACCGGAGGAAGGUGGGGAUGACGUCAAAUCAUCACGGCCCUUAUGACCUGGGCUACAAACGUGCUACAAUGGACGGUACAAAGAGUUGCGAGACCGCGAGGUGGAGCUAAUCUCAAAAAAGCGUCCUCAGUUCGGAUUGGAGUCUGAAACCCGACUCUAUGAAGCUGGAAUUGCUAGUAAUCGCACAUCAUAAUGGUGCGGUGAAUAUGUUCCCGGG